UUCCGUAGGUGAACCUGCGGAAGGAUCAUUCACACGAAUCCAACCUCAAACCGUGCAAGCUUACGGGGGCUUCGGGAUGCGCUGGACAUAGUGCCUCGCGACCCGGGUCCUAAAGAUGUGGUCCCGUUCGUCCCAGUUGCCAAACAGGGGUGUUCCAGGCUAACACGGCCGGCCCCUUGGGGAUGAGCCCCGCACCGAGUGUUUCCGGUGCAGUGGGUAGGGUCAUGUCGGCGUUUUUUCACUCCUACUCGUACCGAUGGUGCAACUUAACCAAUUAAAACUUUCAGCGAUGGAUGCCUCGGCUUGGGUACCGAUGAAGGACGCAGCGAAAUGCGAUACGCAUUGUGAAUUGCAGAAUUCCGCGAAUCAAUAGGUUUCUGAACGCAUUCUGCACUUUCGGGGUCACCCGGAAGUACACCUGGUUCAGUGUUUCCUGUUCCUCGUGCCAGCCGCAUUGCGCGGUGUUGGCGUUGCUGUGCGCUAACGGGUUUCGCUCCCGCUGGCGCAUGAAUGGCAUCAGGGCUCGCUCCCGGCGGACAGGGUGAUCACUCUCCGAGUGUCUAUUUUGUCUGUUGGGGAGGCUUCGAGGGACCUGACGCUCAAACUCCAACUGCAAACCUGAACUCAGGUGAGACUACCCGCUGAACUUAAGCAUAU
rnacentral:rRNA from 1 species